CAUCCUUGCCCGGGCUGGGACCUUGGGGCCUGCUUGCUGUUUCCUCUCUGGCCUGCAGUUUACAGAGUGUCUUUGGCCAGCACAGUACUGGCUGCCGAACAGGAAUGGCAGCAAAAAAGCCCCAAACAAACAAAACUCCACAGAACUGCCCAGCCCUGCCUCCUUCUCCCUCUCCUUAUUUGCCUUUUGUCCCUUUCCCUGUCCUAGCUCCACCCAUGACUCUCUCCACCUCUUGGGGGUCGUCUGAUCCAGGCCACUGACUCUGACCAGGGCUCCUUUCCCCUAGCCAGGAGGAUCCCUACCCUCACUGAGCACUGGAUGAGACCUUCUCCCGGCCUCGGACAGUGAGAUUUGCACCCAGAUCUUCUGCCGUAGAAUCGAGUGUCCCGCCCAGGGUGACAGGAAAUGAAUACACUCAGUCCGCAAGUGGCUGAUGGAGGAAGUGACCAGAGGACUCAGCCUCCACUCUGCUCCCUGUGGCCUCCCUGUCUGAUGGUGCAGUCAAAGAAGCUGGAAGCUCUACCCAUUCUUCAGACAAGAAGGUCCUGGCUACUGACCAAUUUGCUGCCAGCUGGAAAGAUGACAUCAACUUGAAUGAUCAGAACAGAUAGUUCUCAUUGAACAGAACAAUUUUCUUUCUAUUGAAGAAAAUUUAAUGGGACAUAAAAAAAAUUUAGUGGGACAACUAAUAUAGAACUUAAAACAAUCUACAAGAACAAAAGUACUUCUAUGAGAAUUCAACAACGUAUUUCUAAAGAUUAUCUGAGAAUAAAAAUUAUUUGACAGCCAGGGAUUUAGCUCAGUGAUUCUGCUGCCUGCCUCACAAGUGCAAGGUCCCAAGUUCAAUCCCCGGUACAAAAAUAAAACGAAACAAAACAAAAAUAAUUUGGCAAUUUAUAAAUAUUCCAAAUUGAAAAUCCAGUAGAUGAAGUCAAAAGUAGAAUAAAUAAUUCUGGGCCAUAGAGGAAGUCAUUUAGGAGAUUAAAUGGAGGAAUUAUCUUGUAAUAUUGGACAAAAGCAUAAAGAAAUUGAAAUUAUGUGUGAAAUGGUAAGAUCAAGGCUGUCAAAGUUAGAUCUUGUAUCUGAAUAUUUGUUCCAAAAGAAGAGAAAGGAAUAUAAGGAAUAAAACCAAUAAAGAAAGAAACAAUAGAAGAAAACUUGUGACUUAAAGAAAUACUUGAGUAUUAAGAUCAAAAGGAAGCUGGGCUGGUGGUGCAUACCUGUAAUCCUAGCACUUGGGAGACAGAGGCAGGAGGAUUACUGCACAUUCAAGGCUAGCCUGGGCUACAUAGUGUGUUCAAGGACAGCCUGAACUACAAAGUGAAACCUUGUCUCAAAAAACAAAACAAAAAAAGAUCAAAAGCAUUCUUUGAAUGUCUAGCAAGAUUAAUAAAAAUAAUAUCUAUCUAAUUAUACUCUGCUGCAAUUUAAAAUAAAAAAGUGAAAAUUCUAAACAAAUCCAGACAUAAAAAACAACCAGAAACAAAAUUAGUUAUCUGAAAAGAAAAAAAUAAUCAGAAUGUCACUGGAUGUAUCUUCUGCAACUUGGAAAACUCAAGAACCAUGAAACAAUACUCAUAAUUUCUGAUCUAAGAUUCUA
rnacentral:lncRNA from 1 species